AUACAUUUUUGCUUAUUUAUUGUUUUAACCAAGGUUGUCCAGAGAAACAGGAAAAAAUAGAAUAUUAAUAUUUAUAGAAAGAGAUUUAUUACAGGAAAUUGGCUCACACAAUUAUGGAGGCUGGGAAGCCCAAAACCUGGAGGGUGGACAGAUAGGCUGAAGACACAGAAGAGUCAGUGUUCCAAUUUGAGUCUAAGGGCCAUCUUCUAUAGAACUGAGAAGAGCUUAUGCUGUUGAUGAAGUGCAGAGGCAAUCUGCUGGAGAAGUCUCUCUUCCUCAGGGAAGGGCAUUCAUUUUGUUCUUUUCAAGCCUUCAACUGACUGGAUGAGGCCUCUUGGAUGCUACAUUCACUAUAUGGGUGAUGGGUUCAACAGAAACUCAAACCUCAGCCUUAGUGAACAAAUCUGCACAUAUAUCCCUUGAACCAAUAAUCUGGAGAAUCACACUCUCUUUCCUCUUCCACAUCAAUGUCAUCCUCUUCAUUCAUCCUCAUAAACUAUGUUCUAAUCAUUCCUUCUUUUGUCUUCUUUUUCUUUCCACCUCCAGGCUCUUCCCCUUUAUUUUUAUUAAGUCAACAAAUGCAUGUGUCUCUGCUACAUGCCAGACACUAUACUAGACCUCUCCUUCCUCUCUGCUAACUUUCCACUCUGUUCAGUCAGGCCUUGUUUGUUGUAUUAGUUUCCUAGAGUGCUGUAACAAAUUACCAUAAACUGGAUGGACUAAGGCAACAUCGAUUUAUUCUCUUCUUAUUGUGGAAGCCAGAAGUCCAAAAUUAAAGCACUGCUGUGCUUCCUCCUAAGACUCUGGAGAUAAAUCUCUUCUUUUCCUCUUCCAGCUGCUGGUGGCGCCAGGUGUUGCUUGGCUCUUGGCUGCACCACUCCCAUCUCUGCCUGUCUUCAUUUUACCUCCUCCUUUUCUCUCUCAAAAUUCCAUCUGCUUCUCUCCUGGGAACGCCUGAGAUAAUUUAACCAGGAUAGAGCACUGGAUUCAUCUUGGUUGAGGAGUCAAAAUUAUAUGUAGCUGGAAAGACA
rnacentral:lncRNA from 1 species